rnacentral:rRNA from 1 species
CAUGCAAGUCGAACGAAGCUUGACGGAUGAUUUCUUCGGAAUGAAACCAGAUAUGACUUAGUGGCGGACGGGUGAGUAACACGUGAGCAACCUGCCUUUCAGAGGGGGAUAACGGCUGGAAACGGUCGCUAAUACCGCAUGAUGUGUUCGGAUGGCAUCAUCUGGACAUCAAAGAUUUAUCGCUGAAAGAUGGGCUCGCGUCUGAUUAGAUAGUUGGUGGGGUAACGGCCUACCAAGUCUACGAUCAGUAGCCGGACUGAGAGGUUGAACGGCCACAUUGGGACUGAGAUACGGCCCAGACUCCUACGGGAGGCAGCAGUGGGGAAUAUUGCACAAUGGGGGAAACCCUGAUGCAGCAACGCCGCGUGAAGGAUGACGGUUUUCGGAUUGUAAACUUCUUUUCUUAGUGACGAAGACAGUGACGGUAGCUAAGGAAUAAGCAUCGGCUAACUACGUGCCAGCAGCCGCGGUAAUACGUAGGAUGCAAGCGUUAUCCGGAUUUACUGGGUGUAAAGGGAGCGCAGGCGGGACUGCAAGUUGGAUGUGAAAUACCGUGGCUUAACCACGGAACUGCAUCCAAAACUGUAGUUCUUGAGUGAAGUAGAGGCAAGCGGAAUUCCGAGUGUAGCGGUGAAAUGCGUAGAUAUUCGGAGGAACACCAGUGGCGAAGGCGGCUUGCUGGGCUUUAACUGACGCUGAGGCUCGAAAGUGUGGGGAGCAAACAGGAUUAGAUACCCUGGUAGUCCACACUGUAAACGAUGAUAGCUAGGUGUGGGGGGUCUGACCCCUUCCGUGCCGGAGUUAACGCAAUAAGCUAUCCACCUGGGGAGUACGACCGCAAGGUUGAAACUCAAAGGAAUUGACGGGGGCCCGCACAAGCAGUGGAUUAUGUGGUU